GCCUGGGUGGCGGAAUUGGUAUACGCGCACGACUUAAAAUCGUGUCUCGAAAGAGAUGUGGGUUCGAUGCCCACCCCAGGCA
rnacentral:tRNA from 1 species